CAUGAAUAUUGGACAAUGGACGCAAGUCUGAUCCAGCCAUGCCGCGUGAAGGAUUAAGGUCCUCUGGAUUGUAAACUUCUUUUAUUUGGGACGAAAAAAGGGGAUUCUUCCUCACUUGACGGUACCAGAUGAAUAAGCACCGGCUAACUCCGUG
rnacentral:rRNA from 1 species